GACGAACGCUGGCGGCGUGCCUAAUACAUGCAAGUAGAACGCUGAAGCUUGGUGCUUGCACCGAGCGGGUGAGUUGCGAACGGGUGAGUAACGCGUGGGUAACCUGCCUGUAAGCGGGGGAUAACUAUUGGAAACGAGAGCUAAUACCGCAUAAGAGUAGAUGUUGCAUGACUUUUUCGUAAAAGGUGGAAUUGCAGCACUAUCAGAUGGAACUGCGGUGUAUUAGCUAGUUGGUGAGGUAACCGCUCACCAAGGCAACGGUACAUAACCGACCUGAGAGGGGGAUCGGCCACACUGGGAAUGAGACAAGGCCCAGACCCCUACGGGAGGCAGCAGGAGGGAAUCUUUGGCAAAGGACGGAAGUCUGACCGAGGCAAGGCGCGUGAGUGAAUGAGGUUCUCGGAUCGUAAAGCUUCGUUGUAUGGGGAGAACGAGUUUGGGAGUUGAAAGUGCACACUGUGACGGUACCUUAUCAGAAAGGCACGGCUAACUACGUG
rnacentral:rRNA from 1 species